rnacentral:lncRNA from 1 species
CCAUGGAGAAGAGACCAGGGGAUGCUUGCUGGUAGGACUUGUGUUCCUUCAACAAUCUUCAGCGCAUAUUCAGAGACUGAGCACUCACUACCUGCCAGACUCAGAUCGGGGUCCAAGGACACCCAGGUGAACAAGGCAGGAGGCACCGCGGUGCAGGAAGAGCGUGGCUGAGCCCACUGGAGUCCUGGAUCUGCUUUAUACUAUCUGUGAGGCCCAGGAAACGUCACAGAUGUGUGCUGCUGUUCUACCUAAACACCAUCCACCAUUGGAGCUGCUUCGGUGAGAGAGAGACAGAGGAACAAGAUCAGUUCUUGGCCAAACGCAAGGGAGCCCAACCAGCCACCCUCCUCCUUCAGCAAGGCCUGAGGCUGUAAGACCAGAAGGACUUCUGGAGGCUUCACUCUGUCCAGCCCAGCUUUUGAGUUUGGGCUCGAAGCUCUAAUUCAGGGCGCUAGCUGGCUCCUUGGACGUGAAGCUAGGUGUUCCUCCUCAGUGGGGUGAGCCAAGCCUUCGCUCACACAGGCUUCAGGUCCUGAGUGUCCCUGCCUUCCGUGAGUCGCUGCUGUUUCCCAGUAUCUUGUUUUCCUGCACAAAUCUGAAAAUUAUAUGGAAUCUCCUCUAGGGCCUCUGCUGUUGAUGGCUCAGCCUUCAGUGGAGACACCUUCAUCCAGAGCAUUGUUUUCCACACCUCAGGCAUUCCUGCUCCAGCUGCAGUCAUACUGGUAACUACUCUUUCUUAUAUAAAUCUCAGCUUCCUAAGUGCAAAUUCAGUAUCAUUCUCCAAAAAUAGAAGGUAAAAAAUGUUAUAUGAAGACCUAGCUAGAUGCUUUGGCAAAGGGUCUGAGCCUGGGGUCCACUUUUAGCAAAUAGCCAGGGAUAAUGUAAUGGCACCAUGCAGACAUAUUAUCCCUGACCUUCUUGGAAAACCUAAAAGCAUGGGAAAGGGACUAAUUUUUAAACUUUAUAUUUUAGUGGGCUUUAAAAAAAAAACAUGUUUUCAGGACACUUUUAUGAUGAAGUUUCAUGCUGCUAGUUGUAUCAGGUUAUAGUGGUUUAGAUUUAGAAUAUCCCAUAAAAGCCUCAUGUUC